rnacentral:rRNA from 1 species
UACGUAGGGGGCAAGCGUUGCUCGGAAUCACUGGGCGUAAAGCGCACGUAGGCGGAUUGCUAAGUCAGGGGUGAAAUCCUGGAGCUCAACUCCAGAACUGCCCUUGAUACUGGCAACCUUGAGUCCGGGAGAGGUGAGUGGAACUGCGAGUGUAGAGGUGAAAUUCGUAGAUAGUUCGCAAGAACACCGGUGGCGAAGGCGGCCAACUGGACCAUUACUGACGCUGAGGCGCGAAAGCGUGGGGAGCAAACAGG